AUACGGAGGAUCCGAGCGUUAUCCGGAUUUAUUGGGUUUAAAGGGUGCGCAGGCGGGAGAUUAAGUCGGCGGUGAAAUUUUGCAGCUCAACUGUAAAAGUGCCUUCGAAACUGGGUUCCUUGAGUGUAGAUGAAGGAGGCGGAAUUUGUGGUGUAGCGGGGAAAUGCAUAGAUAUCACGAGGAACUCCGAUUGCGCAGGCAGCUUACUAAACUACUACUGACGCUCAGGCACGAAGGCGUGGGGAUCAAACAGGAUUAGAUACCCUGGUAGUCCACGCAGUAAACGAUGAUUACUAGCUGUUUGCGAUACAAUGUAAGCGGCUGAGCGAAAGCGUUAAGUAAUCCACCUGGGGAGUACGUUCGCAAGAAUGAAACUCAAAGGAAUUGACGGGG
rnacentral:rRNA from 1 species